AAAUUUAACAGGAGACAGAAAAGCUCUCACAUCUAUCAGAGGAGCAGUUAGCUGAUCAAACAUCAAUUACUUCUGGAAAUGAGAGAGAAAUAACUGAAGAAUUAGAACCAGAAGGAAGUUGAACAAUCUGGAUUAAAGUUACAUCACUUGGUUUUACGAAGUCAUGAAUUACAUCAAAUGAAACAAUACAGCAGCUGAGUGUAGAAUACAAAUAAAACAAUUUCCCUGCAGAGGACACUGCAUUGUCACUUCCAAACCCAACGGGUGGUCAGAGGAGUGACUGUAACUACAAAACUGUGCUGACUGAUACCCCAGAAGAUGAGCAGAACUUGAAUGUGAAGAUACUGAUUUUGCUGAAUCUGUUUGAAAAAGAUAUUCCAGAAUCAAAGAAAUACCAUUGAACAUGACAUUGGUGGUGAGUUUUAGAGACCACUUUCUUGUAAACGUUUGUAGCUUUAAAAUUAUUUGUUGAAUUUCUACUUUUCUCUGCAAGAUUUCCUGUGAAAGUAAUUGUUUUACAUAGUGUCAAGAAGAAAUUCUUUCAUAUUAACUGAAGGCUUCCACAUUUGUUUUCAAAAGUCUGCAGAAACUAUUACUGUCAUUCCUUAAAAUAUAUUAAAAAAAUCCAAAACCAAGCAGCAUCCCCAGGUCGUAGGAAUUAAUUUAUAAAACCUAAGAACUUUAAGGACAUGUCUGCUUCCUGCAAUUCUCUAUUUUGUAC
rnacentral:lncRNA from 1 species